rfam:Pteropus alecto contig92468, whole genome shotgun sequence.
AUCUAUGGCCAUGCCACCCUAAACAUGCCCGAUCCCGUCUGAUCUCGGAAGCUGAGCAGGGUCGGGCCUGGUUAGUACUUGGAUGGGAGACCACCUAAGACUAGGUGCAGUAGGCA